UGGGGAAUAUGCGCAAUGGGGGGAACCCUGACGCAGCCAUGCCGCGUGAAUGAAGAAGNCUUUAGGGUUGUAAAGUUNUUUCGGUAUUGAGGAAGGGUUGAUGUGUUAAUAGCACAUCAAAUUGACGUUAAAUACAGAAGAAGCACCGGCUAACUCCGUGCCAGCAGCCGCGGUAAUACGGAGGGUGCGAGCGUUAAUCGGAAUAACUGGGCGUAAAGGGCACGCAGGCGGUUAUUUAAGUGAGGUGUGAAAGCCCCGGGCUUAACCUGGGAAUUGCAUUUCAGACUGGGUAACUAGAGUACUUUAGGGAGGGGUAGAAUUCCACGUGUAGCGGUGAAAUGCGUAGAGAUGUGGAGGAAUACCGAAGGCGAAGGCAGCCCCUUGGGAAUGUACUGACGCUCAUGUGCGAAAGCGUGGGGAGCAAACAGGAUUAGAUACCCUGGUAGUCCACGCUGUAAACGCUGUCGAUUUGGGGGUUGGGGUUUAACUCUGGCGCCCGUAGCUAACGUGAUAAAUCGACCGCCUGGGGAGUACGGCCGCAAGGUUA
rnacentral:rRNA from 1 species